UACGGAGGGUGCGAACGUUGUUCGGAAUCACUGGGCGUAAAGCGCGCGUAGGCGGCAUAGCAAGUCAGAUGUGAAAGCCCUAGGCUCAACCUGGGAAGUGCAUUUGAAACUGCUAAGCUAGAGUACGGGAGAGGGUUGUAGAAUUCCUGGUGUAGAGGUGAAAUUCGUAGAUAUCAGGAGGAAUACCAGUGGCGAAGGCGGCAACCUGGACCGAUACUGACGCUGAGGUGCGAAAGCGUGGGGAGCAAACAGG
rnacentral:rRNA from 1 species